rnacentral:pre_miRNA from 1 species
AGAGGGAUAGCUGGGUUAAAUGGUGGUUCCAUUUCCAAUUUUUCAAGAAAUCUCCAAACUGUUUUCCAUAUUGGCUGCACCAAUUUCAGUCCCAUCAGCAGU